CUCAGCAACCUAGACUACUUAUUCAGUAUAUACAUAUAUAUAUAGAUAUAUAUAUAUUAAUCAGAUCAAGACAGAGAGAACUACCAGAGACGAAGCUUCAUUUGCUAUUCCUUUGAGCUGAGCUAGUGAGAGAGUCUAGAGAGAAGCUCUGAGGGGCUCAGUUGUAUGUACAUGCAAAAGAAAGAACAGAAAGAGAGUUAGAAAAAGUGAGAAAGAAAAGAAAAAUCAGAGAGAUAGAAAGAACAGAUUAUCAAUCAAAGACUAUGAUUCGAAAUCUGAUGCAAACACUGUGUAAUACCUUUUGUGAUUAGUGAAUACUCAAGCACUCUGAGGUAGUUUGACGGAGACGUAGCCCAUCGUUCUGGGGUGAACUCCGAGAUCAAUCUUUGGUGUUCUGACUCUCACCCUCUGGGUGUGUGCGAGCUUUAGAAGCAGUCUAGCUGGUUGUGUGAGCCGAGUAUUAAUCUUGCUGAAAGGUUUGGUGUCUACUGGAAGAUAGUUUUGGUGGCGGGAAAGGUUCUUGGAAGCUUGGGGAUGUGUAUUGAGGCGGGAUGGAAUCAAUGGACCGAGCGUUCGAUUCGAGGAUGAAGUCUCUUUAAUUAUGGUUUUCUAUGUAUUUUUCCGCAAUUGGUUGUAAUAAGUUUUAAUUAAGUUUUCAUUAUGCCAAAGUUAUGUUUUGUUUCAAACAAUGGGAUCCCAAUGUCCAACUUAUGAAUUUUAUAUAGUUUUAAACCGUUACCUUACAGUUCUAAAAUAAAGAUAUGUUAU